UGGAUAGAGAGUCUUUACUUUCUAUAAGACGCCGAACUCCUACAAGUUUUGUAGGAUGAUGAUAUAGUCCAACACAAAUGUUUUUGUAAAAGGCCAGCAGCAGCGGUAAUACGAGGACCCCAAGCGUUAUCCGGAAUUACUGGGCGUAAAGCGCGGGUAGUCGGCUUUGUUAGUCUAAUGUUAAAUCUUAGGGCUUAACCCUGAGGCCGCAUUGGAAACGGCAGAGCUAGAGUGGGUUAGAGGCAAGCGGAACGUGCGGUGUAGGGGUGAAAUCCAUUGAUAUCGCACGGAACACCAAAAGCGAAGGCAGCUUGCUAGGGCUCUACUGACGAUCAGCCGCGAAAGCGUGGGCAUAAAAAAGGAUUAGAUACCCUUGUAUUCCACGCCCUAAACUAUGCAGACUCGCUAUUGGGAGCAUCGACCCUUCCAGUGGCAAAGCUAACGCGUUAAGUCUGCCGCCUGGGAAGUACGAGCGCAAGCUUAAAACUCAAAGGAAUAGGCGGGAAUUUGCACAAGCAGUGGAUCAUGUGGUUCAAUUCGACACUGAGCGAGG
rnacentral:ncRNA from 1 species